rnacentral:rRNA from 1 species
CGUAGCAAUACGUCAGCGGCAGACGGGUGAGUAACACGUGGGAACGUACCUUUUGGUUCGGAACAACUGAGGGAAACUUCAGCUAAUACCGGAUAAGCCCUAACGGGGAAAGAUUUAUCGCCGGAAGAUCGGCCCGCGUCUGAUUAGCUAGUUGGUGAGGUAAUGGCUCACCAAGGCGACGAUCAGUAGCUGGUCUGAGAGGAUGAUCAGCCACACUGGGACUGAGACACGGCCCAGACUCCUACGGGAGGCAGCAGCC